rnacentral:rRNA from 1 species
UACGUAGGCAGCAAGCGUUGUUCGGAGUUACUGGGCGUAAAGGGUGCGUAGGCGGUCCUAUAAGUAUGGUGUGAAAUCUCCCGGCUUAACUGGGAGGGUGCGCUAUAGACUGUGGGACUAGAGUGUGGGAGAGGAAAGUGGAAUUCCUGGUGUAGCGGUGAAAUGCGUAGAUAUCAGGAGGAACACCGGUGGUGUAAACGGCUUUCUGGACCAUAACUGACGCUAGGCGCACGAAAGCGUGGGUAGCAAACAGG